AAGUCUAUGUGGCCCUUACCAUCUGCAACCCAGAGACGUGCCAGCUGUUCACCACUGAGCUAUGCCGGGCUGGGAUCAGAUGGGAAGUGGAACCUCGUCAUGACCAGAAACUGUUUCCCUACGAAGAGCACUUGGAGAUGGCAAUGCUGAACCUCACACUGUAGGACUCACAUACGACUCCAACGGGAUUGUGAGAAUCAAGUCACUCUAGUGGGAAGAGUUUUUAUAUGGGAAAGCGGAUAAAACUUUCAUUGGACUGGAAUGUUUGGAGAAUGUUAAUUUCCAAAUCAGGAACCACAAACUGCCCUCUAAUAAGACAUCAGCUAUCUAAGCAUGUGGGUGCUCCCUUUCUGCCAGCAGUUCUGGUUCUUAAGAAAAUCGCCAUCAAUCAGACAUGAAAUCUCUGGCUCCAAAAAUAGCAUUUUCUUUGUGCAAAUAAAAACGUGUGUAUCAAGUAUGAUGUUCCCCCAAUGUGGACACACUCGGUUCCCCACAAAGCCAAGCCCGCUGCAGCUGCCACAUCCCUGGACACAUUCGGUUCCUCACAAAGCCAAGCCCGCUGCAGCUGCCACAUCCGUGGACACACUCGGUUCUUCACAAAGCCAAGCCCACUGCAGCUGCCACAUCCCUGGGCUUACAGUGCAGCAGGUGCUUUUUUCAAGACAGGAAUCAAAAUGUUAGGAACACGGCGGAAAGAUGACACCUGGAGAGCAAACGCAGGAUGAGGAGUACUGCAGAGGUCACACGGAAGUCGCAGAACAGUAAUCCGCUAGCAGGGGCAUGGGGCGUGAAGAACAGAAGAAGAUAGGAAGUGUUUCCGAGCCUCCAGAAAAGAAAUCAGAGCCAAGCACAGCUUCCCGGGUCACAGAACCAAUUCAUUUACCAGGCGGCACCACUGCCGUCAUUUCACCUUCUGGCCACUGGGAGGCGCUGCUCGAAAGGGUUUGCCCUGAGACUCCGAGAAGAAGCUGCGGGAAGGACAGCAGGGGUCCCGGGGUUUUAGCCUCUGGCCCAGGAGUUAUGUGUCCAUAACCAAAUGGAGCACACUCUGCACCCAGCUCUCAUCCCAUCGGAGCUGCUGCGAUUCCCGCAGGUUCUUCCAGAACUGGUUUAGCUUGCCCGCAGGAUCAGGAAAGUUUGAGAAAAGCAUCUGCAAAAAAAUAAAGAGCAGAGCUUAACUCAUUUCCUGUCCCCACCCCAUCCCAGGUCACCACCUGGCUGACCCCAGGUCCCCGACCCAACAACAAACCCUCCCAAGUUCCUAACUCCCUCACUUGGACUCGAGACUCUUCACGCCCCAGCAGCGCUCCGCCUCCAACUUGACAUCACGCUUUCUGUCCCACUUUCCCACACUUCGUGCCCUGGAGCACCUCCCGGCCUCUACACGCUGUAUGUUCCCCUGCGAGCACCCUCCUCUUGGCCUCUGGCCAAGUCCCACCCAUCUGUGGGUAACAAGGGGGUGUUGGUGUUCUUUUCAGCCUUGCUAAACUGUCUGAAUCAAGGAUCACAAACUACAGCCUGCAGGCCAAAUCCAGCCCACAGCCUGUGUUUGUAAAUAAAGUUUUAUUGGAACAAAGCCACACCCCUUAAUCGAAGAUGAUCUGUGGCUACUUUCACACCACAACAGAGUACCAUGGUUCUGACAGAGACUAGGAGACACAGUCUAAAUGACUUCUGACCUGGACCUUUACUGAAAAUCCUGCCAAUCAUUCUGUUGGCAAGAAUGAUGUAUUACUUUUAGCAAUAAGAAACAAGUAACCUUUGCAGAAUUCCACCCAUCUUUCAAGGCUGGUCCCAGAAGUUCCCUUUGCCCAUGCACCUACCUGAUCCUGAUCACUUCCGAAACUGCAGCCCGGCCCACCCGGCUCCAGCAUCAUUUGUGGAGUGUCAGCUCCAUAAAUCCAGAGGGCAGGUGGGGGUGUGUCCUAACUUUCCCGAGCCUACUGUACCGAAACGGGACAGCAGAGUAGGCCAGCCUCUGUGACUUCUGCUCUCUCCCUAGCUUUUCCGCCAGACCCCACAUGGUCCCACCCUGGCUGUGGGAAGCAGGGAUCAGGGAGCAUGGCUCAGUGCCAGUCUCCAGAACCCUCUCCACCCUCGCGUGGUGGCAGAUGUGGCUACCUGCAGCUGAGCUGCCAGUUCCUCUGAGUCCUCAAAGACCAGGCCAUUUUCUUCAUGUUUCACCAGCUCAUGUAAACUGCAGAGAGAACCAAGGGAGCCUGAGAGCUGCCUGGAGAAGACACCAGACCCCUGGGGUGCCCACCUGGGCUUCAGCCUCCCACCCCAUGCUCAAGCCAGGCUGAGAGUUGGAACAGGGGGUGUGUUUUCCGGGGGGUGGUUCUUAGAUUUGGCAUCUGAAGGGUAUAAAGGGGGGUACACAUCUAAAUGGCCAAACCGAUUUGAAGAGGGAGCCUUAAGGGGGGUUUGUACCUUCUGUGCUGGAUGCUCUUCAAGGACUGAAGAAUUAUUUUUGCAUGUUUUUCUUAACUCCAUGGCCAUGGAACAAGUAAAGGGAACACCCGGGGGACUGGCUCAGCACAUAAAAGAUGACUUUUCUAGGGCACCAGGUUUGAUCCCGACAUUCCCUGAGCUCAGCUCACAGGAGGGGCUCACAUCCCUGGAUCCCAUCCAGGAGCCGGCUCCUGAGCAGGGGCCAAGGGCUCAGCUUGUGCUGGGGCUACUGCUUCUAGAAUCUCCUCUAACGCCGCCCUUCCAAACACACGUCUGUGCUGGGUAGAGUGGGGCCACAGCAUGACACUCAUUUAACUGAUUCAAACCCACCACGUGAGCUUGGCCAAAAGGGACAUGGUGGGAGAGAAAGAAACAAAGAAAACCAUGUAAGCCUGCAGGCAAUUC
rnacentral:lncRNA from 1 species